ACUCGGCCGCAUAUCCCGACGCAGUGGAGGCAUACGCCAGUGUCGGCCUGAUUAUGGUCUUGAUGAGCAGUAGCUUGUUCCUGAUACUUAUCUGGCUUCUUCGAUUGAGGAGUCAGCUGCUUAUCUAAAACAACACCCAAAUAUUUAGCAUCUUUCCCAUUCGACGUUUUGUCCCUCUAUGGUGAUGUUGCCAUAGACACUGUCCUGCUUCCUGCCAAUAAGUAUGGCCGGGCUCUUCUCUGCAUUUAUCUUCAGCUUUCACUUGAUGAACCACUGAUGCAGUUCGUCAAUUGCAAGCUGGAGCUGUUGCCUGAUGCAGUCCUUGCGCCAUGAGAAUUUCAGAAGGGCCGUAUUAUCAUCUGCAAAUAAUGCCAGGGUCGUAUUGGCAUGUCUUGGAAUGUCGCUUGUGUAUAUGUUGUAUAGCAAGGGGGAGAGCACUGCUCCUUGCGGUACUCCUGCCUCAGUGCUUCUGGUUUGUGACCGGUAACCUCCAACUUUCACGCUGAAGCUCCUUCUGCAAAUAUAACUGUCUAUUAACUGGCA